UACGUAGGGUGCGAGCGUUAAUCGGAAUUACUGGGCGUAAAGCGUGCGCAGGCGGUUGUGUAAGACAGAUGUGAAAUGCCCGGGCUUAACCUGGGAAUUGCAUUUGUGACUGCACGGCUAGAGUGUGUCAGAGGGGGGUAGAAUUCCACGUGUAGCAGUGAAAUGCGUAGAUAUGUGGAGGAAUACCGAUGGCGAAGGCAGCCCCCUGGGAUAACACUGACGCUCAUGCACGAAAGCGUGGGGAGCAAACAGG
rnacentral:rRNA from 1 species